rnacentral:rRNA from 1 species
AGCGGAGGAAAAGAAACUAACAAGGAUUCCCUUAGUAACGGCGAGUGAACCGGGAAGAGCUCAAAUUUGAAAUCUGGCGUCCUCCGGGCGUCCGAGUUGUAAUCUAUAGAAGCGUUUUCCGCGCCGGACCGUGUAUAAGUCUCCUGGAACGGAGUAUCAAAGAGGGUGACAAUCCCGUGCUUUACACGAUGACCGGUGCUAUGUGAUACGUUCUCUACGAGUCGAGUUGUUUGGGAAUGCAGCUCAAAACGGGUGGUAAACUCCAUCUAAAGCUAAAUAUUGGUGGGAGACCGAUAGCGAACAAGUACCGUGAGGGAAAGAUGAAAAGCACUUUGGAAAGAGAGUUAAACAGUAUGUGAAAUUGUUGAAAGGGAAACGAUUGAAGUCAGUCGUGUCCAUUGGGUUCAGCCGGUCCUGCCGGUCUACUCCCUUUGGACGGGUCAACAUCAGUUCUGACCGGCGGAUAAUGGCACGAGGAACGUGGCACCCUCCGGGGUGUGUUAUAGCCUCGCGUCGCAUACGCUGGUCGGGACUGAGGAACGCAGCUCGCCUUCAUGGCCGGGGUACGCCCACGUACGAGCUUAGGAUGUUGACAUAAUGGCUUUAAACGACCCGUCUUGAAACAC